rnacentral:tRNA from 1 species
GGGUCAUUAGCUCAGUUGGUAGAGCAGUUGACGCUUAAUCAAUGAGGCACAGGUUCGAACCCUGUACCACCCACCA